rnacentral:lncRNA from 1 species
UUUCCCCCCUCGGGGGGCGCCGAGGUGGGGAUGUUCCUGACGUUGCUGCAGGAGCUGGAGAGCAGCUGAGCCUGAAAAUGCAGUAGGAUGAUCAGUGGAUGGAAAAUGAGCAUUUGCCCACUUCCACACAACAACAACAAAGUGUGAAUAAUCAUCCUGGUUUAAGUUCACAGUGUCCUGCGUAUCAGAGAGACUGUCGGUGGUGGUG